UACAGAAAACCGGUUUCUAAGGGAAGAUGUAAGGGUCUGGGUUUACUGGAAUCACUCCUUUGAUAUGCACCUCAGGACCAGUAUUCUUUGUUUCUUUCCUGAGUUCCCUCAGGGCUCACUGGCCCACCCUUGGGAGUACUUGUUGUCACAGAUGACCAUGACAUCUUUUGUUUUGUCCAGAUAGCUCUGAAAUACUGCCCCAAAGAGGCAAGAUAUAAGCCGUAAAGGAGAAGGGGGAGGUGCCUGCAGCCAGGCACACAUUUUACAGAAAUUUGCUCAUUUUACAAGUGGUUGCUGCUGGUCUCAUGAAGGUUACUACUCAUGAAGGUCACAGACAUCAGUCAUCACUGAAGGAUUUUAGUGUUUUUCUAGAUACGAGGAGAUGCAGGAAUUGGGCUCCUAAAAUCUUCUCCUAAAAAUAUAUAACUGCGUGAAGACCUGUUCUAGUUUUCCCAGAGUACAGAGUGCCUCACUUCUGGGCUCUACCCUGGCUCCACUGGGGUGUGCUGUGGGUCGGCAGCUGUACAGAGGCUCAUGUUUUACUGCAUGUAGAGGCUGAUGGCAUGUGCCAAAUUUUAGUUCACAGUAGCCUUAUUAGAACAUCAGAAAAUUCUAUCACCUUUAGCACUCAGGGAAUCCCAAGGGUUUUAAAUGCUGGGAACAAAGGUACUAGGUUCAAAGACCACUUAUAUUUCUAUGAUAUGAUAAUACCUAUAAUCAUAAGGAAAAGGGUUUCAGUUGAAAUUAUGUUUAGUUUUCUAUAUGAUUGUUGGUUUUAGGCCACAAAUAUUGAACAUUGAGUGUGUAUAUGAAAGAGACCUGAGUAUCUUAAAUGCCAAGGCCUCUGGGCAUCAGGCACAGGUUCCAAACCCCCCUCCUCCCAUGAGACUAAAUGAACCACAUUUCCUUGGUGUGAUUUUUCAGUUGACACCUAUGAUAUUAGCCACUGCCCUCUGUUUCUAAAGAUGCUUUAAGCUCAAGUCUUCAACUUUUCCCUACUCUCAAGGGUCUUGAGAACUAUCCUUCCAUUGUUAGCAGCCUUGCUUCUAACUCAAACAUUUCUCCACUCACUUCCUUCUCCAGAAGGAAAAACCUUUCUUCUUUUACUACCUUAGGUGGUAAAAGCUGCCUCUGCCCUGAGGACCUCGCUUCUGCAGUGUUAUUUAUCUCCAGGGGGAGGUAACACUUUAUCCCCUCACUGCUCACCUACUUCAGCCACAAGCAGUGGGGUUAUUGCUCUCCUUUGCCAUUUCCAACCAGUCCUCUUCCACUCUAUUAACAUUUAUAUAGGAUGCUUUCCUUUCUAGUUUUGCCUUCAUUCUCUGGUCCACCCAUCCCUUUCCAUUGCACAUGUGGGCAUCCCGUUGCAUUCUUCUCCCAAUAAAAUUCAGCUGGAAUUUGAUGAGGUUGCAAUACACCACCAAGCCUCGUUGUCAAACUCAUGGCAUUUCCAGUCCUCUGACUCUUUGGCCUCUUCAUUCAAUCAUCUCUGUCUCUCCUUUUUUUUUUUUUUGACUUUUUGCUUUUUAGGGCCACACCCGUGGCAUAUGGAGGUUCCCAGGCUAGGGGUCUAAUUGGAGCUGUUGCAACUGGCCUACGCCAGAGCCACAGCCACACCAGAUCCAAGCCUCGUCUUCGACCUACACCACAGCUCACAGCAAUGCUGGAUACUUAACCCACUGAGCGAGGGCAGGGAUUGAACCUGCAACCUCAUGGUUCCUAGUCGGAUUUGUUUCUGCUACGCCACCAGGGGAACUCCCUCAGUCUCCUUCUUCACGUCUCUCUUUUGCUACCAUGGUCCCUGGGUCUGAAAACACUCUUCCUUAUGUCUUAAGUGUCCUGUUCGUCUCAUGUAGUUUAUUUACAUUUGAGAAUUUAUUGAAGUCACGUAACAGUUACAUCUUCCAUUUAGAUCACAUCAUUUAUGCAUAAAGUUGCAGGAGAGUUCUGUGUUUCUUUUGUUGAAUAUAUUUGUCGAUAUUAAUACUUUGGCCUUUUUUUAAAAUUUUUUAUUCUUUGCUUAUAUUCGCCUGAAAUAUCUUAGACCCUCUUAAAAUGCUCUCAGACUCAUCGUAAUUGUUGCUGAAACUAGGCCUCUGUCUGAAGUUGGCGGAUAGAAAUGUGGAAACAGAGAUUUGGGUGAAGGAGAAAAAGAUAGGUUUAUAGCUUCACCAGGCAAAGGGGGCUAUAGCAGGCUAAAGCCUUAAAGACUGUACCCCAUACCCCACCCCUUUGGAAGGGUUUAGGAGGUGGUUUUAUAGUUUGGGGAGUGUAAAAUUGGGCCACAAAUGAGGAUCAGGGUAGAGGCAAGCUUGCAUUGUCUUUCAAAGGUGGUGUUUAGUGGCCCUCAGGACUGGUUCUGGUGGUCCUCCUUCUUCCCUGAAUGGAGAAUGCUUCAUCAAGGAGUGCCUCCAGUUGUUGGGGGUUUUAGUUCUGCAGAAAGGCUCAAAGAUAUUGUUAUGUAUAUUCCUCCUCGAGGAAGAACCAGGACCCUGCCUCCAGGCUACACCAUCUCCUUACUUGACUGCUCCUCCCUGGUCUCUGCAUCCCCUCUCUUCCCGGAUUAGCAACUGUUAGAAUCUGCCCUUGGAACUCAGGGAAGGUCCUGGAGGCUGAAUGAGCCUAUUCCCUACAGAAAAGAAAAAUGGGGGACACGGAAAGGUUUUUGUGCCCAGGAGCCCUACAGGGCUCUGCUUUCAAUACCAUUUCCACAGUCUUCUGUACUUUGUUCUCAUAAGUUAUCCCCUCUAAUAAAAACUCAGGAUCCAGGGUUGAAUUGCUUUUGUCCUUCACGUCUGAGUCUCACUCAGUUGGAUGACUGGAAAGAAGUCCCUGGUUAAAUUCAAUGAUCAAAUCAAGGGAAAGACUUAGAGAUUAGACCUGGUCCUGUGGGGGGAAAAAAAAAACAAGAGUUGUCCAGUGUUGUGGGGAUGGGAUGGUCAAGCAACAUGGCAAAGGCUUGAAUUGGUGCCUUGGGACCUCUUAACAGCCCCUGUCUACACUAUCCCUUCCCAGUCCUUAAAUGGGCUUCUCCUAUUCUCCUUAAAUCUCUUUAGGAUGCUCCAAAUGUAGUAGAAAUCAAAAUUGGCUCUACAAAAAGAAAGAAAGAAAGAAAGAAAAUAAAUAUAAUUUGCUCCACUGCAUUGGUAAUGUAAGUACUUGGAAUAAAAAGCAGUAAGAUCCACUAGAAGGGUUUUAAACAACAAGGGAUGCUUUUGAAGGAAACUACUUUUGUUCCAAUUGGCGUAUAAUGCUCUGGAGACAUAUUAAGACAGAAAUGAGCCAGAUUUCGUAUUUUUUAAAAUACCAGAAUUACAAUAUUACAACAUGAUACUGUUAUUUUGAUAUUUAAUAACACCUCAAUAUUCUGGCGUCAUGGAUUAUCAGAAGCCGCUAUCUCUUCACCUGUUGGCAGGGGAGAGUAGUGAAGAGUUUGUCCCGAAACAUAGAUUUAAAUACUCUGGUCUGUUUAACAGUGUCUGUAGAUGUUGUCAGUGUCAGGAUUUGAGGCAUCGUAGUACCAGUGCCUUUUCAGUUACCCUACUCUGACUUUAUCCUGCACCUCUCAAAUGAUAUACAGUAGUAUUUUGGAAUUAAUGCAAUAAAUGUACUUAAGUUGAAUAAUAAACAAUCUUCUUCAGUAGAUAUACCUCUUUAAAUGUUUAAUAAUAGCAAAAGAAUAGUGUUUAUUUGGGAUCUUCAAUAAAAUGCAACACAUGUUUAUAACAAGCAGAGCUUUAAAAAUAAACAUACCACAUAGAAAGGAGAAUGAAACUCAAGUUUAAUAUGAACAAGGAAAGAAAAGUUUCUCAAGUAUUCAAGUGUAUCCAGACACACAGUAAUUUUAUUUUUUUAUUUUUUGGACAGUUUAAAAGAUAUUUUAUUUAUUUUUAAUUGUAUUGGAAUAAUAAUUGAUUUAUAACACUGUGUUAGUUUCAGGUGUACAGCAAAGUGAAUCAGCCAUACAAAUACACAUAUUCACUCUUUUUCAGAUUCUUUUCCUGUCUAGGUUAUGACAGAAUGUUGAGCAGAGUUCCCUGUGCUCUACAGUAGGUCUUUGUUAGUUAUCUAUACUACAUCUAGCAGUGUGUGUCACACGUAGUAAUUUUAAAAGCUUUCUUGUCUGGAGGGGCAGAAGCCACAAAGUUCUGCCAAACCUGAAAGAACCAGAUACCUGGACAAGAACUCAACUGUGGGAAAGUAAGGAUUUCCCCUAAAAGGGUCAAGAUUAACUUUGCUUCAGACCAGCAGAGUUGGGACAAGGAGUGCUCCAAGUCAGAAAUGAUUGGCUGCUAUUUGGAAUAUUCUGUAACACAAAGAGAGAAAAGUAAGCUUCCCACUUCUCUCUCUGAAGCCCAUAAUGCUGAUGUCCAAAAACUGUACCAGAAAGAAAACUAAAGACCAAUCUUACCUAAGAAUACUGAUGCAAGUUCUAAAUGAAAUACUAGCAAAUAGAAUCCAGCAGUACAUUAAAAGAAUAAUUCCCCAUGACUGAUUGGGAUUCAACCCAGAAAUUCAAACUGAUUCAAUGUUUUAAAAUGCAUUAAUAAUAUUCAGCAUAUUAAUGAGUUAAAAGAGAAAAAAAAAAAGCAAAGGAUGGAUCCAACAUAUGCUGACAUGACAUUUGAAAAAUUCCAUUACCCACUCCUGAUUCAAAAAGAAAAAGUCUUAGAAAAAUAGGAAUAGAGGAAAUGUCCUUCC
rnacentral:lncRNA from 1 species